GAAUAAGUUUUGUCAACUUUUAUGUAACUUGAUAUAAUCUUAAAUUUUUUAACUUUGCUAUAUAUUUGGCACGUAUGCAAAUAGCAUACAUAACUAGUUAAUAGCUGGACAUAACUAGCACAUACACAAGAAUAACAAUAAUAAACCAAUAUGUAAAAACGUACCAAAGAUGAAGAAGCACAAACGAGACUAGGUCCCAUGCAUGAUGCUCACCAUUAGUUAGUCAGGACAGUACAUACAAAACAACACAUUAAGAUAGAAUAGAAAAAAGGACAGAGAAGGAAAGCAAGAAGCUGAAGUAUACAGUAGAUUAAGAAAGAGGAGGGAAAGAACGAUUGAUAUAUGGAAGUUAUUAUUCAGUCGUGAUCAAUGAGUGUGAUCUUUCUCACGCCGCCAUUUUUGGGUGACUUUUCAACCAUAACAGCGAUUAUAAUUUAUAAUUUUUUGGGCAAAUAAUGGUAAAUUUGCUCUG